UACGUAGGGUGCAAGCGUUGUCCGGAAUUAUUGGGCGUAAAGAGCUCGUAGGCGGUUCGUCGCGUCGGCUGUGAAAACCCGGAGCUCAACUCCGGGCCUGCAGUCGAUACGGGCGGACUUGAGUGUUGCAGGGGAGACUGGAAUUCCUGGUGUAGCGGUGAAAUGCGCAGAUAUCAGGAGGAACCCCGGUGGCGAAGGCGGGUCUCUGGGCCGAUACUGACGCUGAGGAGCGAAAGCGUGGGGAGCGAACAGG
rnacentral:rRNA from 1 species